CGCCGGCCGGAGCCCCGCCCAGCCAGAGCCCCGCCCCGCCUCGCCUCGCCGGAGACCUCCGUGGUGCCGCGUCGGCCGCUGCCGUCUGCCCCGUCGGCCCAGAGCCAGGCGGGGCCGGGCGCUGGUCUUGCCGGCACCUUUGAGCGGCGGGCGCCGGCGGCCGGGAGACGCUGUGGCAGGGGAGGGGCCUUGCGGCUCCGUCGCCGCGACGCGAGCGGAGCCGCGUCCUUCCGCCCUGCGGUGGGGACGCGGGACACGUGGUGGGAAGGCGGAGGUCGCGUUCGGCGCAGGGCCUGCCCUGGGCUCGUGACAAGGAUCUGUCAUUCUACCGAAACCUUCAUGCUGGGCUGGCAGUACUUCGUUGCUACAUGGUUUGAAUGGCCUUUCCAAACAUCAACUCACAGGCCAAGUGCGCAUCGGUCAAAGGCAAACUCUGAAUUGAGCUUUGUGCCAGUCUCUGGAAAGACACCCAAGAGCGUGUGAUGGGGAAAGUGACAGUGGCGGUGGCAGCGACAUCUGCAGUGCCAGCCCCGUCCCUAUCUGCCACAGAACGCGUGUGGGCACGCUUUAUGAGAACAAUCCACCCGCCAGAGAAUGGGGCUUUUGACAUCAGCUGAGGCCCGGGCUGCCUUACAAUGAGAGGCCUGUCGGUGAAAGGGAGACUGUUUAAUGAACUGAGAAUCAGAGGCCAGCUCUGGCCAUCUGGACUGAGCAUCUUUGGAGCAACUCUUCAUUGUAAAUGGCUACACUGAAGCACGUUGCCUUUCCAAGAAAGCAAUUGCAACAGUAAAUUCAUAUUUCAAAAUUGUGCACAAUAAACUCAUAUUUCAAAAUCGUGAACUUUUAGAUAUUUGUGUGUGUGCAUGUGUUGGAAAGCAUUGUAUAAAGGUUAGAUAUUACCAUCUUAAUUAGCACGGAAGCCUGAAAAAGCA
rnacentral:lncRNA from 1 species